GACGAACGCUGGCGGCGUGCUUAACACAUGCAAGUCGAACGGAGUGGCGAACGGGUGAGUAAUGUAUCGGAACGUGCCCAGUAGCGGGAGAUAACUACGCGAAAGCGUAGCUAAUACCGCAUACUAUUGGAGCGGCCGAUAUCGGAUUAGCUAGUUGGUGGGGUAACGGCUCACCAAGGCGACGAUCCGUCGCUGGUUUGAGAGGACGACCAGCCACACUGGGACUGAGACACGGCCCAGACUCCUACGUGAGGCAGCAGUGGGGAAUUUUGGACAAUGGGGGAAACCCUGAUCCAGCAAUCCCGCGUGUGCGAUGAAGGCCUUCGGGUUGUAAAGCACUUUUGGCAGGAAAGCGGUACCUGCAGAAUAAGCACCGGCUAACUACGUGCCAGCAGCCGCGGUAAUAC
rnacentral:rRNA from 1 species